rnacentral:ncRNA from 1 species
UUUGGUAGAGGUCGCAUUUGGCAAUCAGUACCGUACGGCGGAUAAGCUCUGACAAAGUGAUGCCGUACGCGAAAGGUGUCGGUGCCGAGGACGGUUAUGUCAAAAGCCGUAUCCGGCACGGUGGAAUAAUAUUUACCGUGUUGUCGUGCAAAGGGCUUGCACGGAGAGCUAUCAG